UGUGAAGCAGGGAUGAUAAGAGCACCUAUUUCGUGGGCACAUUGAGAAGAUUCGGGAAGCUAGCACAGUGUACGUGCUGGGUGAGGACACUUCGCCCUGAAUACUACAGCAUGAAUGUCAUUAACUAGAUGAACUCCGGCAUCCACAACUUGAACUCAUGUCUCCGCCUCUUGCUGACAAAAACUACAUUGCGUA